GUUUUGGACUCAAUUCACUGAAAAUAUUUCAUGUUUGCAAUAUUUCUGUGAAAUAACAUGAUAAGUGUAUAGCAUGUUAACAUUUUGGCAUGUUUAAUAGAGGGGGUUCACAUUUUUUUUAUUUUUUUACAGGGGGGAUCAAAUCAAAACAGAUAAAUUUUAUGGGGGGAUCAUGAAAAUUUUAUACUUUUGAUUUCAAAAUGACCAGCCCCCCUCCCAGGUAAAUAAUGAUAAGUCCCUAAAUAUAUUUUAUUUGUCUCACAUAAUAUGUUUAAAGGUUUAAAUGUUUCAGCUACUAUCGGUUCACUUCAGUUUUGUAUUCUGUGUCAAAAACGGACGUUGAUUAGAGAAGCUCAAAAUCGGACGUCGAUUAGAAAAUGCCAAAAAAAAUGGAUGUCGAUUAGACAGGCAUAAAAUUGGCCGUCGAUUUGGAAUGUUAUUUUAUUGUGACGUCAGAUUUGGACGUCGAUUUGAGGAACGGACGUCGAUUAGAGACCGG
rnacentral:lncRNA from 1 species